AAGUGCAUGUGCUUUCUGGGGGCCGCCACCAUGGAGCCUCUUAUCCCCAAACCCUGGUCCUUGUGACUGCCCUACGAUGAGAAUCUGUGAAGUAGAAAUGAGUGUCACAUCCUCACUCCCCAAAAAAUCCACCAGCAAAUAAUACUCUGUGAUACUGUGAGACAAGAAAAGUUUAUUUGGUCUCUUGCUCGUUUCCUGGCACAGAGCUCUUAAACCCUUGGCGUUCACGAUAGGUGACCAAGUCCUUUUCAGCCACACCCGAGUUCGUGUUCAUACUAGUGAGGUGCCUUUACUUUGUUUUGCUUUCUGCUUUUGUUUUUCUUGUGCGUUGCCAGGGUCUUGCACAUGCUGGGCUGCACCACAUCCCAGGGUCACCACAUCCCUGGAUCACCUCCAUGAUCCCAGGUAGCCUCAGGAAUGGGACUGAUUUCCAAUGAACAGAGGGUUCAGCUCCCAGUCCUGACUCCUGUCCUCCCUUCCGCAUUUCCCCACCAGUGACCGACUUAGGCCCAGGUAAAGCAGCUGUCCUAAAACAACAGGGCUCAGAGAGUUUCUGAGUUGUAAGUUUAAUACCCAUCACUGUCCCCCAGGACCUGGUGCUGCUUUCUGAGGAAGCCCUGUCCUUGGUGUGACCCCUAGCUAGGCUGUCACAGCACUACUCGCUUCCUGAGGAAGACAAGGUGCAGCAUCAGAGAAUCUCAGGCUCCAGAGUACUCGGGCUCCUCUCAUCACACUUGUUUUUUGUUAAUAAUAGAUAGGUUUAUUAUUACAUAUCCAUCAGCACCUCGCUUCUUUUUUGUGCUCUGUGGUAGGGGGAAAUUAGUCUGGCACCAGCUCCGCCUGCAUGGUUUGUGUCAGUAAGACCUCUUUGUUGCCCCAUGUGGGCUGUCAGGAGGCCCUUACUUUGCGACUUGAGAGGAAAAGGAAGCCCAGGAUGAGGCGCUGUGGUCCCUGCUGCCUGGGAGAUUCCUGGACACAUUAAAUCCGAGUCAACAGAAAUCCGACACGAGUGCGCCUCCUGGUGUAAAUAACCAGAAUAACCAUGCUCCCUGCUAGAAUGCAGCUGCCGCUGGGCGGGCCCCUAUGCACCCCUGGGUUGCCACCAGGCAGACUUAAGGGACUGAGGACAGGCACGGGAGCGACUGGAUGGAUGGACGGUGGUGAUCAUAAGCUGAGCAGCUGAGAAGAAAGACACGUCAGACAUUCCACAGCUCUGCAUCUCUCCUCUGGACUGCCUGUGUCCCAAGUGAUUCUCCAGUUUGAACUAGUGACAUACCUGAACUUCAAACUGAGGCUGGAAAGCUGGGCGUAGUAUGUACACCUGUCAUCCUAGCACUCGAGAGGCUGAGGCAGGAGGAUCAUGAGUUCAAGGCUAGGUUGUACUAUAUACUGAGUUCUUGUCUCCAAAAAACAAAAAUAAAUUGAGUUUGGAUAUGUGGUCUGGUGGUAAACACUUACCUAGCAUAAGGCACUAAGUUCCAGCACCAGCACACAAAAUAGUGUAGCUCAUUAAAAUGUACAGAAACAUGUAUAUGCAUUUGUAGAAAUUAGCAAGCUGUCCUUGUGAUGUGUGUGUUUUACAAUUUAAAUAUUUACUCCAAUAGAAACUGUUUUUUCUUUUUUCCAGCACUGGGGAUGGAACCCAGGGCCUCACACAUGCUAGGUGAGCACUCACCAUCAAACUAUACCCCAGCCCAAUAAAAAAAUUUUAAACACUCCAGGAACAAUACACUUACUGAGAUCAUUUCUAAUAUCCAGGCUUGAUAAGUGGCAAAGCUCAUAAUUGAGCAAUAAAUAUAACUGAAAAUUUGUAGAUGUUUCAUUUCUAAGUGUUUUUUUGAGUUUUUUUCAUUUUUAAUUGCAGUACUACAGAUGGAACACAGGGAGCACUCCACCACUGAGCUAUAUCCCCAGCCCGUUUUAAAUUUUAUUUCUAAACAGGGUCUUACUAAGUUGCCUGGUCUGGCCCUGAUUCAGCCUGCUCAGUAGCUAGGAUACUAGGCCUGCACCAUUGUGCCACCCUUUUCAAGGUUUGUUUUUCAGUUUUGCUUUGGUUUUGUGAUAUAAGGAAUUAAAUCUAGGACUUUUGCCCUGAGCUACCUCCCCAGAUUGCUCAUUAUUUUUUUUUUUUAUAUUGACACAGACUUUGCUAAGUUAAUAAGUUCCUCAGGCUGGGCUCAAGCUUGCGAUCCUCUUGCCUCAGCUUUCUAGGGGACUGGGCCACUGGUGUGCACCACCACACCAGCUGUAAGAUUUUCUUACAUUUACAAAAUGUGUAAGUCACUAGGAAGAGGAGUGAAUGUAGAGUUAGAAGCCUUCGGUUAUAUUAUUUCUGCUGCUUAUUGGCUGUUUAUAUGAGCUUGGCCAGUGGCCUUUCUCCUCCUCAGUGGCCUUGUCUAUAGAAUGGGGAUCACAAUACUUGCUCUGCUGGUGCCUCAGAAACACUGACAGCCAGCCAGUGACACAUGAUUGGAGGCCAACAGCCCCCGGUCAGGGCACCACCCCUCCCAGUUGGUCCCUGCCUGGGCCCUGUCCCCUCACUGCCUGCACCUCAGGGCGUUCUCCAUGAGGGUUGGAGAUGCUGCACUCAGUCACGGAGGACAGUGUCCCCUUCUGUCUUUGCCUGACUUGGUUAUUUUGAGAUAAAAUGAGACUGAAUUGGAGUUUCCAAAACUUUAAAACUAGAUUUUUAGAAACCUGAAAGACCAUGAAAUCUUAGGAGGUUUUUUGGUGGUUUCUUGGUUUUGGCUUUUCAUUAAUAGUGUAGGGUUUUUCUAUGGUGUGUGUGUAGUUUUUUUUUUUGUCUGUUUUGGGGAAUGUUGAACCCAAUAACUGCACACCCUCACCCAACCUCAGAUUUUACCUAACAUUAUUCCUAUAAGAUGAAAAUAAUUCAAGACAAGGCGGAUCAACUAUAUGCAUAUGAAGCAAAACCUCACCCUUCUCAGUUAACUCAGAAAAGAAAAUAUUACUGAUAGCAGUCGUUAUCCUUGAAGUUUAUUAAGUUUCUAGACAAGAAAAUUAGAUGAGAGACAGUGAUAUAACUCAGUGCAACACAUAUUUAGUGUGUAAGAGACUCUGGGCUCAAUCUGCAGUGCCAAAACAAAAGAAAAAAACUGGUUUAUCUUUCAAAAAAAACUGAAAAUGGCGAAUGGUUAUUCCCACUCCUGCCCCACCUGGCCCCCUCCCGUGGCAUCUGUUGUCCAGACCUCUCGGCCAUGACAGUCAAAUGACUUUGAACCUGAGGUGACAACAGAUACUAAUCAGACAAGCAAAUCUGGUGAAAAGGGACAGGGCCUUUUCCUUUCUUUCUACCUCUAUUUUUCUUUCCUUGUUGCUUUCAUAGAGUACGGGGGAUUGAACAUAGAACCUCAUGUGUACCAGGCAAGUGCUGUAUGACUGGGCUGCACCCUGGUGGUGUUUUAUUUUUGAUUUUGAAACAGCAUCUUGUUAAACUGCCCAAGCUGGCCUAGUGUUCAGCCUUCCUCAUAGCUGGGAGUAUAUGUGUGUUCCACCAAGAUCAUCUUAAGUGAGAGCAUGAGAAGGAAAAAUGAGGAUACGAGUUUGUUUUUUAUGAUUUAAAAGGAGUUACAUUUUCUAAAUCUCCAAAAUUGUCAUCUUGCAAAUUCAAAUCAGAUUUCUCAAUUGCUAGACAGUUAAGUCUUUAAAAGGAGUUAAGGAUGUUAAAAAGGAGUUAAAGUUAAAAAGACAGACAUUUCUGGGGAAAGUUGAGUGUCAUUAAGUUCUGUCAUACUUUAUUACCUGCUUAGCCUGUGAUUGAGGCGCUGUCCAGAUUUGUUUCUAAGACCGCCCCUCUCCUGAGUAAGUUACGGGCUGUGUGUGCAUGUGUGUGUGUACUGCUGAGCAGGUCACCACAGGGCAGCAGCCUGAGCCUUACAACGCCUUUCAAGUUAAAAACCAUAGAGUUUAAAGUAGUUACUAGAAUGUGAUGGAUAAUCCUUUGUAAAUUUUUUAAAAAUCUAAAAUAAUUUUAUCUAACUUUGGAUGUUUGUUUUCACAUUGCUUUUAGUAUGCAGAUAAUUUUGCUUGUGUGUGAGGUUUUAGUUUGGUUGGAUUUUUUUAACUUGCUUGAAUCUUAAAAGCAUUCAGUUUAACUGCUAUUUUGCCACUUUGUUAAGAAGACUUUAACAUAUUCUUUGUUGUAUGUUUUCUUUGCUAAUCAUUUAGCUUUAUUUUUUGUAAUGGCUUUAUGGAGCUUUAAUUCACAUAGUGUGUAAGUCAGGCAUUUAAAGCAUACAGUUCCAUGUUUCUUUGGUGUAUUUAUAGUUGUGUGACUGUCUCUGGGUUGUAGCUUUAUUGGUUUACGUUUUGUAGUUAAAGAAACCCCAGUGGUACAAGAUGCCCAAAUGGCAAGUGGAAAACCUCCCUUCCUCCUCUGGGCUUACCCGGCUGUCAGCCAACUUUGGGCGGCAGCCUUUGAGGCACAGGGCUAGGCCAUUCCCUUCAGUACUGAAAAGACACAGUUUCUUCUCUGUGCUGCCAGGUGGCUGUCCUCGAGGAGCCCUGUCCCAAGUAGGGAUGCUGGCCUGGCGCUCUAUUUGUUUCUUCCUCCUCCAGCAGGGGUGCUGGGAACAGCCCCACUGGGAGACUGGCCCUUUGGUGGAAAAGCUCUGAGGAGUGUUUGAGUCUUUCAAAGUGAGGCAGGGUUGUGACUAAGACCCUGCUGUUUACAAUUCAAGUGGCUUGUCCCCGCCACUGUCAUAGUGGAGCUAUGUGUGGCUUUUCUUUAUUCCAGUCUCACAAAUCUCUCCUUUGACAAUCCCUCCCACCAUCGCCCCUUCCGCUCUUCAGCCAAGAUCCUGGCAUAGCACUAGUGUCAUCAGUGCAGUGAGGCAGGCGUUCCCAGGAGGCACAAAGAGCUAUUCACCGCCUCAGGCUCUUCUCUCAGCCUCUGGCAGCACCCCCGGCACGCCCGGGCUUUUCCCUCCCACACAAAUCACGCUGCAGCUGAGAAAGUUCCUAGUGCACCUUGCUCCGAAGAGCCAGGUCUCAAAGUAGCAGAUUCUCCUGAAUUGCCACUUCUCCUUUGAGUAAGGACACUUGCCUCUGUACUCUCUUAAUUUUCAACAGCAAACGGACUGCCUUCUUACAGCCUAAGUUGAACAACACUCUUGGAGAACAAGUGGGGUUUUGGUUAACUAGGAAAAUUCUCCCAAAUUUAUCCUUUUCUCUGUCUUUGAAUUGUUAGCAUUUCAGAAUAGCUUCUAAUGUCACUGGGUUUAAAGCCUUAGAGAUUAAAAGAGAGAUGGCUGGAGUGAGGGGAGCAGAGAAGGUGUAGAGUUAUUGAGAAGGACCUGGAGGUGGAGGUAGCAAGGGGAGGUGGGUGGUAAUAGAGAAGCAUCACAGGGAACAGGGUCCUGGCCUGCCGUGCAGCCGCUGUGCUUCUGGAGAAAACAUGCAACUUCCCUGGCCUUCAGUUUCUCCGUCAGUAAACUGAGGAAACUGGACUCCUAGAUCAAUAAUUGCAUAUGAAAUGCAAGGCUUUAGAAAGUUAGUCAAGGAAUAAACAUAAGACUUAUUUUAGGACCUUAAAGUUGGGGGCUAAGGUAUAGCUCAGUGGUAGAGUGUUUACCUGGUACAUGCAAGGCCUUUGGUUCAAUUCCCAGCACUUUAAAAAAAAAAAAAAGAAAAAGUUUUUUCUUUUUAUUAUAAUCAUGUGCCAAUAAAAAAGUUAAACCAGGUAUAAUAUCACAUGCCUAUAAAGCCAGCACUUGGGAGGCUGAGGCAGGAGGACCACUGUGAGUGUGAGGCCAGCCCAGAAUACGUAAUGAGUUCAAGGCCACCCUAAAUGCCUGAACUAUAUAGUGAGACCGUCUCUCAAUAAAUAAAUAAAUAAAUAAAUAAAUAAAUAAAUAAAAAUCAAAGCAGAUAUUGUGGCAUGCGCCUGCAAUCCCAGCAUUCAGGAAGCUGAAGCAGGAGGAUCACCACAAAUUCAAGGGUAGCCUGGACUACAAAGUAAGUUUGAGGCCAGCCUGUGGUACAGUGUGAUCUCAAGGUUAGCCUGGAAUAUACUUAGCAAGACUCUGUGUCAAAAAAAAAAAAAAAAAAAAAAAAGAAAGAAAGAAAAGAAAAAAAAAUAAUCAGGAGGCAUUCCUCCCUAACUAAAUGUGUGAAAAUAAGGAUAUUGAGGAGUUGAUUUGCAGGACAUUUACCGUUGGUUCACCAGCUACUCAGGAGCUCUGGGUCCUUGGAAGCUCCUCAGUUUUGCUCUAAUGACUGAGAACACUGUGGUCCCAGUGGCAGGGAGACACCAAGGACGUGGCCUGCUAGCCAAAUGUAAGGCCCACAUGUUACAGGUGUUCCUGCAGGAAGAAAAAAUGCAAGGCGAAAGAAUUGGGUGGUUAAGCUUGGUUUAUAAAUGUUACAUGUCUUGGUCUUGUAGUACUGCUUUUUGUUAUUAAUAAAAAGGCUAUAUCCUGGGAUAAUA